rnacentral:ncRNA from 3 species
UGGAAGUCGAAAUCCGCUAAGGAGUGU